GGAGGGAGCAGUUUGCACGCACGCAUUCAACCGGCCGGCCACUGCCUUCAUCGCAUUCAGUAUAUAUGUACGUGCAGCACUGAGAUUUGAACAUGGCCGUGCCACAGCCAUCUAAGCACGGUGCGCUUCACAAAUCACAACAGAGUUCGUCACCACGCUGAUCCACUCCACAUAGCCAAUAGCACAAGCACAAAUGUGCCAUCAUGUAUGACGAAACCUAGAAAUCGAUUACUGAUCUAAUUUGACUACCUAUAUGGAAAAGAACAUAACAGAAAAUUGUUGAGUAACGACAAUAAGUGAUUGAGUUCAGUAAUUCCUCGUACAAAAUUAUUGACUCUAUAGAUAUGAUAAUAUAGAGAAGACCAAAUUGUUUGAAGCACGGAGAACCGGAAGCGCCUCUUGUUUAAAAGAGAGGAGGAUGGGCUAUUCAUAUUUAAUUUGAUGGUCAGAGGCAAAUCGAAAUCUAAGCUGUGGUAAUUAAGGCCCCUCGGAGAAAAGAUGUACGUAUGUCUCCUACGUUAGAUAUGUAGAAGUAUCGAUGUAAUUUCAUAGAGUCAAUUCGAUCUGAAUGCUACAUGAAGAACAUAAGCCAGAUGACGGAACACCGAGACAUAGGAUGUAGAAGAGUGAUUCGGCAGAUUUCAAUACACUCCACAUAGCCAAGCACAAAUGAGCCAUCAUGCACGUGGAUAUAUAUUUCUGUACACACGUGCCGAUGCUUGCGAUCUCGAUUGAGUGCUUGGACGACCUGUACGUUG
rnacentral:lncRNA from 1 species